GCCGGGGAUUAGUGGCGAACGGGUGAGUAACACGUGGGCAAUCUGCCCUGCACUCUGGGACAAGCCCUGGAAACGGGGUCUAAUACCGGAUAUGACCACCGGCCGCAUGGUCUGGUGGUGGAAAGCUCCGGCGGUGCAGGAUGAGCCCGCGGCCUAUCAGCUUGUUGGUGGGGUGAUGGCCUACCAAGGCGACGACGGGUAGCCGGCCUGAGAGGGCGACCGGCCACACUGGGACUGAGACACGGCCCAGACUCCUACGGGAGGCAGCAGUGGGGAAUAUUGCACAAUGGGCGCAAGCCUGAUGCAGCGACGCCGCGUGAGGGAUGACGGCCUUCGGGUUGUAAACCUCUUUCAGCAGGGAAGAAGCGCGAGUGACGGUACCUGCAGAAGAAGCACCGGCUAACUACGUGCCAGCAGCCGCGGUAAUACGUAGGGUGCGAGCGUUGUCCGGAAUUAUUGGGCGUAAAGAGCUCGUAGGCGGCCUGUCGCGUCGGAUGUGAAAGCCCGGGGCUUAACCCCGGGUCUGCAUUCGAUACGGGCAGGCUAGAGUUCGGCAGGGGAGAUUGGAAUUCCUGGUGUAGCGGUGAAAUGCGCAGAUAUCAGGAGGAACACCGGUGGCGAAGGCGGAUCUCUGGGCCGAUACUGACGCUGAGGAGCGAAAGCGUGGGGAGCGAACAGGAUUAGAUACCCUGGUAGUCCACGCCGUAAACGUUGGGCACUAGGUGUGGGCGGCAUUCCACGUCGUCCGUGCCGCAGCUAACGCAUUAA
rnacentral:rRNA from 1 species